rnacentral:rRNA from 1 species
UACGUAGGGGGCAAGCGUUGUCCGGAAUUAUUGGGCGUAAAGAGCUCGUAGGCGGUCUGUCGCGUCGGCUGUGAAAACCCGAGGCUCAACCUCGGGCCUGCAGUCGAUACGGGCAAACUAGAGUACUGCAGGGGAGACUGGAAUUCCUGGUGUAGCGGUGAAAUGCGCAGAUAUCAGGAGGAACACCGGUGGCGAAGGCGGGUCUCUGGGCAGUAACUGACGCUGGAGGAGCGAAAGCGUGGGGAGCGAACAGG